rnacentral:rRNA from 1 species
UACGUAGGGUGCGAGCGUUAAUCGGAAUUACUGGGCGUAAAGCGUGCGCAGGCGGUGGCUCCAGUCAGGUGUGAAAUCCCCAGGCUUAACCUGGGAAUUGCAUUUGAAACUAGGCCGCUAGAGUUUGGCAGAGGGGGGUGGAAUUCCACGUGUAGCAGUGAAAUGCGUAGAGAUGUGGAGGAACACCGAUGGCGAAGGCAGCCCCCUGGGCUAAAACUGACGCUCAUGCACGAAAGCGUGGGGAGCAAACAGG